rnacentral:rRNA from 1 species
GUGGGGAAUAUUGGACAAUGGGCGAAAGCCUGAUCCAGCCAUGCCGCGUGUGUGAAGAAGGUCUUCGGAUUGUAAAGCACUUUAAGUUGGGAGGAAGGGCAUUAACCUAAUACGUUAGUGUUUUGACGUUACCGACAGAAUAAGCACCGGCUAACUUCGUGCCAGCAGCCGCGGUAAUACGAAGGGUGCAAGCGUUAAUCGGAAUUACUGGGCGUAAAGCGCGCGUAGGUGGUUCGUUAAGUUGGAUGUGAAAGCCCCGGGCUCAACCUGGGAACUGCAUCCAAAACUGGCGAGCUAGAGUACGGUAGAGGGUGGUGGAAUUUACUGUGUAGCGGUGAAAUGCGUAGAUAUAGGAAGGAACACCAGUGGCGAAGGCGACCACCUGGACUGAUACUGACACUGAGGUGCGAAAGCGUGGGGAGCAAACAGGAUUAGAAACCCUAGUAGUCC